GGCUCAGAGGCACUCUGCAGUCACACAGCUGGAGGGGUGCAGUGAGACGCGGAGGCUCCAAGUCUCUUCUGGACUAGGCCUGGAUCUGCCACCUCUUCUUUCGGCUGUGGAUGGCCCUGGGAGACACGCCUGGCCUCAGAUGCCCCUUGACCCAACUGGAGGAAGGGUGGGGGGCCCAGCAGAAAAGCCUGCAGCCUCCCUGGGCACCGUUUCAAAGCUGAUGCUGCUCUCCCUGCUCUGGGUCUCAGCUCCUCCCCUCUUCUGCAUUGUUGACCAACAGCCUGGGUCUGACGCGGAAGCAGAAGAAUUCCCAUUCAACUGGGCCCCAGGGAUGGGGGGCCUCUCUGCCAGUAAGUGACACCCUCUGCUACUGAAAGGCCUCAUGUUCCUGCCCUGCCAAGCCUGGGGUGGCCACCACGUGACAGCACCAGGGACACGUGUCUUCUGGGACCGCUUGUGAGCUGGGUGGCUGGCAAGUUUGUUUCUCCAUGUCCCGCAGCAGGGGCAAGGGUGUGGGUGGUCAUAAUGCACCAGGGCUCUGGGCGGGCUGAGCAGAGUGCAGUUCCUGCUGCCAGCCCCGAUAUGGCACGGACAGCUGGAAAAACUGACCAUGUGGCUUGACUAUCUCAGAGGAUUGCUCCAUUUUUCCUCAGCAUAAUUUUUCCAUGAAUAAUCUUUAAAGCUCUUUAAGUGGCUGUUUCUUUAGCAGUUUUAUUGGAACAUAUGAGAACUGACAGUCUCUGUGGGGAACGAGAUAUCAUGUUGAAAAAAAAUCUGGUUUUCAUUACACUUCUUUCAAGAAAGCAACAGGCUGCCCAACAGACCUCUCAUUGAUUGGAAGAGAAAUGAGCCCAGAGCCUCCUAACAACAGCCUUGGAGUGGACAGGAUGAUGAACAGUGAUGCCAAAGACUCAGGAUCUGAAGGCAGACAGGCCUGGUCCACCACCUGUGUCUGCCAUUUGCAGGAUGAGUGACCUUGAGUAGGUCACCUCACACCUCUGAACCUGAAUUCUACAUCUGCAAAACAGGAAUGAUGACCCUGACUGACAGCCUCCCUGUGAGGAGUAAGCCAUACAGCAUCCCUCCCUCCUUCACGUGACAAACUUUUCCUGAGUCCUGACCUCGGGGGCAGGAGCUGGAGAUACUACACUGGAUUAGAAAGAUGAGUUUCCAGUCAAGUGUGGGAGAGAGAAGUAGCCAGGAUGUAGAACCUGACAAGGGAAGAGUUCAGGAACUUGCCCAGUUGAGCAGCCAGUGAACGGGACAGCCCUGAGCACGGUGCACGUUCUGGGGUGGCUCGUGAGUGACAGCAGUACUGGUAUGCUGGUGAGUGCCUCAGCAGGAGCUCCCUCUGUCCCCCUACCAACUCCCCGAUGUCUGGACGGCACCAGAGCCCGCCUGGGAGGCCACGAGCUAACACUCUCAAGAGGAAAACAGGGGGAUCAAACCAAUGACCCAAGGGCCUACAGCUAAGAACUGCUGGAGCCAGGCUCUGAACUGAGCUCUGCCUGACUCCAGAGGUGGUUUCUACCACCAGGCAAUACAACAGGGAGACACGCAGGUGUGUCAGAGAGCAGUCCUCACAGUGCGAGCACAGAAACCAGAGGCCAAGGCUGAAGAUUUUCCUGGACUCGCGGUGCUGCCCAGGAAUCUUCUGAGAAAACCUGUCAGUUGGUAAAGCCACGUGGAGGCGGGGCUAACAAAAUCUGGAAAUGUCUUCACCAGUUCCAAAGUACACACAAACAUUACUUGCCCUCUCUGGGGGUCAACGUUCUUUAUGAUUUUUUUCUCUCCAGGAAAAUAUUAGUUCAUUUAUAGAAACUAAACAUUACAUGUGGAGGGAAAAUGGAAAACGUGGCAUUCUUGGCCUUUUUUCUCCACAGACACAGAAACUGAGAAGGUUUCUCCAUUUCCUUUCUCACAGCCUAUUUGUUGGUGUGGAACUGCCUGUGAAGUCAUUCUGCAGGGGUGGAAAGUGGGGGCCAGCUCUCUGUGGGCAACAGGGACCAUCCCAGAGACAAAGGGCAGCCUCAGCCCACAGACCACUUCGGACUUGAAUCAAGGCCUCAAAGGGCGAGACCUGGGCCACUGUCAAUGUGAGGGCAGGUAGGCUGGGUAGAGGGGUAGAGGCGUGGGCGCUGCCUAGAAGAGGGCCAGAGAGACCGCCCGGCACAUUGGUCUUGCUCCCACUGCCUCCUUUCAGCUCCUCAGUGUACCCAUCCUUGCCCCUGGCAGCUUUUGCUGCCUGGUUCCCCGACUAAAAUGUGAGCUUUGUGGGGAAGGUUCUUGCCUUGCUGGGCACCUGGCUCACAGCAAGUCCUUGGCCUGGAAGUCUUGGGUGAAUGAAUGAAUGAACAUGUCUUAGGGCCUCUCCUUUGCAGGUGUGGGGGAUGUGCCUACUGGAAAGGGCACCGAGCUGAAGCCUAAACCCCCUCCUGAGGAGCCAGGGAAGCCUGCGUUCCUCCCAUUCCCGGGACUGCAAGAGGCACAUUCCUGUCCCUGAGUCUGGUCAGGCUCCUGCCACGCAGCUCAGUCUGGCUGCCAGGUCCAGAAAGGCCUCCCUGGAGCUGCCCCUCUGGCCCCACCCUUCCCAGGACCCCAGGCCACCCCACAGCUGCAGCAGCACCCACUCUCUGUCUUCUGAGGCUGCUAGUGGGAAGCUGGGACCCCCGAGUGUGUCUGAAACCUUCCAGGCACUCCUCGACCCUCUAGUGAUCAAUGAAAACCUUCACAUCCUGCUUCCAGGGCUGAAGCCAGGGAUUUGGAAAAUUGGUGGAAAACACUCCUAUGAGCUGGGGCUUGCUCUGCUGUGGAAAACUGCCAGCAUCAGCACUUCUCCCAAGGCUGUGCCGAGUCAGCAGUCAGCCCACUCUGGAGCUGCCUCUGAGGACCAGGUGCCUACAGGACCCUGUAAGGAGCUUGAAGAGUUGUGGCUGACGGAGGGAUUUCUGUCCUGGGCUCUAGGAAUUCUAGACUGGGCCCUUCCUCAAGGAGCUUUCAGUCUGGCGGAGCAGACAGACAUGGGCAAAUAAGCCCACAACUAACUGUGCCAUCACUGCAGAAGGAAGUGCCACGGAGGAGCAUGAGGGCCAGUUGCAGGAAGGAGCCAGGGCCAGCAUGUGCCUGUAAAAGCCAGAUAGUAAAUAGUUCACGCUCUGCAGGCCACAGGGUCUUUGUCCCAAGCACUCAACUCUGCCACUGCUGCAUGAAAACAGCCACAGGCGAUAUGUCAACCAAAGAGGGGUGGUUGUGCCCAUAUGAAAACAGAGGGUGGAUCUGUCCCACAGUUUGCCACAGCCUGGCUGUUAGACGGCCUGACCUGAUUGGGGGUGGGGGUGAUAGUGGGGAGAAGGCUUCCCCGAGGCAGUGAUAUUUAGCUAAAAGCUGCAGGCUGAGGCAAUGAUGGAGGCAGAAUCACAAUAUGACAAUUAUGAUAAUCACAUCACCAUGAUCAAGUUCCACCUAACACGUGUGUUCUAUGUUGCGCACUGUGCUAAUAACAACACUACCCUGUGAAGGAGGAAGAUUUUAUGCCCACUUUACAGAUAGAGACACUGAGGCUUGGCAGUAUGCUGAGUAGUCUGUUCACACAAUUCAGCUGCAUUUUUUGC
rnacentral:lncRNA from 1 species